rnacentral:tRNA from 1 species
GGAGAUGUAGCUCAGUGGUAAAGCACUUGCUUACCAUGUAUGAGAUCCUGGGUUUCCAUCUCCA